rnacentral:tRNA from 1 species
GGCAGAGUGGAGCAGUUGGUAGCACUGUUGUGUCACAGCAAGAAGUCCCUGGCUUCGAAUCCCAGCCUGGGCCU